CGUCAGCUGCCCGACACCCGCGCAAGCGCCGCCGCCGCCCGGUCGCAACCGUUCGCUGCUCGCCCGUCCGCCGCGCCCUCGCUGCUCGCCCGUCCGCCGCCGCCGCCCGCCCGCCUGCCCCGCUGCCGGACACCGCCGACCUUGCCCCGCUGACGCCUCCCCCUCCCUUGCCGCCUCUCCUCCCUCUUACGCUUAUCUGUUCAAUGCAUGGAGGCGUCGAUCUAGACCCCAUGGACACGAUUGCCUGGAUCCACUCUCUCCCAUGCCUCCCUCCUUUGUCCAUCCCUCCUGUUAUUCCUCUCUCUUUCUAAAAAAAAUAGCGAGCUACAGCAAAAUAGCGCCGAACUCAAAAUAUGCUAUUAGCAUGUUAUAUCGUGCUAUAGCGUGCUAUUAGCAAGACAUUGUACACUGAUAUAUUUAGCGAGGCAAUUCUCAAUACCCCAUAGCGUGCUAUUAGUGACGCUAUAGCGCGCUAUUUUUCUCAGUGCUGUUUCCUCUCUGAAUUGCAGCAUGAAGGAGGCUAGGAUUGAGUGCAGGCGGGCCAUUAGGAUCAACAGCGGCAACAGAGAGUCACAUUGUGGCGGCGGUUUCUUGGCUGUAGUGAAUGCAAAUUUUGGUAGCCAAAUGAUUUACUGUUUGGCAGUGUUGUUCAUCAUUGCUGUAGCAUGGAGACUCCUUCCAGCUAUUGAGUAAACAUGUUAUCUUGCCCGGUACUUCCCUCAUGUGACUAUUCUGACCAAAUACCUUUCUUUGUGAGUUACUCUCUCUAGAUGUUUGAAAAUGGUAGAUCAAUGCAGCUUAGUAAAAGCCUGCUGAAUCUGCAGCCAGAAUUGGUAGCACACUGCAAUCUUGCAGAAGCACUACAUUAAUAAUGUAAGAUGGUAGCGGGGAUUUUACAUCAACCUAUUGGUGUGUCUGUCCAUUCUAGAGGAAUGUGCAUGAAGUGAGAAUUAUCAUGAUGGAACCACCAAGUUUGAUUUUAGUUUCUCCCACUUGAUAUUCUGCUUCAUUUUCUUCUACUCCCUCCGUUCCUAAAUGUAAGUCUUUGUAGAGAUUUCACUAUGGACAACAUACGGAUGUAUCUAGAUGCAUUUUAGAGUAUAGAUUCACUCAUUUUGCUCCGUAUGUGGUCCAUAGUGGAAUCUCUCCAAAGACUUAUAUUUAGUAACGGAGGAAGUAUUUUUUAGUACAAGUACUAUGCCUCUCCUGUGCAGUAGUUUAGGUGGAAGUGAUGUAAAUGGUGAUGCCGCUGCUCAAAUCCAGACGCUGAAGAAUGCAUAUAUAUUGCGUGGUUUGACGUCGGAGCACCUUUGGAGCCUUGGAGGAAGAAGUUCACCUUAAGCCAUCGGAGUGAAGUUCUCAUUGCCAUAACCAGCUUUCACAGGGAAGCAUAAGGUGAUCCGUGAUCUUCACGUAGUAUGUAGACUCUGGAGGAACUAAUAUAUCUUUUUUCAAAGGGACAUAGGCCGAUCUUUAUUAGAUACUCCCUCUGUUCGGAAUUAUUUGUCGCGAAAAUGGAUGUAUCUAGAACUAAAAUACGUCUAGAUACAUCCAUUUCUGCGACAAAUGGAUGUAUCUAGAACUAAAAUACGUCUAGGUACAUCCAUUUCUGCGACAAGUAAUUCCGAACGGAUGGAGUAGAAGAGAGGGUACAACCGAACCGCCAACAGUCUAGGCGAUCUAGAGCCGAUGGCUCACUCCCAAGGACAAAACAGCCACUCCAACCCAGAGGGCAGAAAAACAAAAGACAGACUCAAGCAGAGAGCUCUACGACACAACCAGCUGCUCUCCACACAGCAAUAUCCUCACGGAUCAGAUCAAGGACUCUGUUGGCGCUGCUGGCAAUGUGCUGAAAAAUCCUUGCAUUCCGCUCCUUCCAGAUCCUCCAAUGUACCAGGAUAGCAAUGGUGUCGAAAUUGCGCCUGUCCUUCUUGGGGAUUCUUUUUCUUGCCGACAGCCACCACUCCUCCGUGGUACUCCAAGUGUCAUCAGGAAUGGAGAAGUGCUCUCCCGUCCAUUGCCUGAAGAUGCUCCAUAGGUGCUGCGUAUAUCUGCAAUGCACAAAAAAGAUGUGUGCAGUCCUCCGGUUCCGCCAAGCACAGGGGGCAAGUAGUGUUGGACGGCCAACCUCGCCGCAGCAGAUUGUCUGCCAUGAGGCAGCGCCUAUGCACAACGAGCCACAAGAAGAACCGACAGCGAGGCGGUGCCUUUGACUUCCAAAUUGGUUUGUAGCACGGAAAACGAAUCGCAGCCAUGAAGAACAUCCGGUAUGCACUGCUAACAGAGAAGCACUGGUUAUCCGUCAGCCUCCAAAUCAAACGAUCAGUAGCCUCAGGUGUCAGGAGGAACUAAUAUAUCUCUUAUGUAGAAUUUGUCUGUAGAUUUUUUGAGAAUUUGUCACAUUCAAAACUACAUUACCUGACUAACUUAUUUUUUGCUGGAUCAUACCAUGAGUUACAGUUCACAUGCACUGUAGCUUCGUGAAGGAAAGAAAUAGGAUAAAUUUUCUAGCCUUAUAUUCAUUUAUUUUUACUGUUAUGUCUAAGAAUAAAAGCACUCAAGGUCUGCACCUUUCCAGUAGUUUUUUGUCUAAUAUGUUACCUUUUACACAAGUGGGACUUAUGUGAUAACUUGGCAUCUGCAUCUUUGUUGCGUCUGAAUUUAGUGGCAACAGAUUGAGGACCUUAACGUGAAUGGCAAUAGCGUGGACCAGCGGACAAGGAUGUUGUCAUGGAGUCAGGAGAAAGGCUUGUUGGAAGUAGAAUGAGGCAAUGUUGUGCUUUUUUUUCUCUUAAUUAACUUUAUAGUGAUAUGUGUUGAAAGCCUGAAAGUGCAGGCCAUACCAAGAUUAAUGAUAUCAAAAUGAUGUAACCAAUUAUCCAUCUCUUGAUUCAUUGCAGAUCUCAAAUUUGGAAAAGGCAGUAUGAAUCUUCCUCCACUGAAUGCUUGUAUUAUGACCUCGGUAUCAAUGAGUUCCUCGUUUACAAACUGGCAAUGUCAGAUGAAAAUUGUUCAAAAAGAUAAGACAAGUAUAACCUCACGUUGCAAAGGUGAGUGGCUGCUUGAUGACAAACUAACUUUGAGAUCACGUCAUGUUGCUAUUCUGAUCAAUUCUGACUAUUGAUGAUCCGUUUCUUGGUCCAGUACUUUCGCAAUUCUCAGCUUUAUAUAGUUUUUUUUUCGAGUCUUUAUCCGUGUGGUACCCCUGCCAUGGCGAAUGUGCAUCCCAUGCUGUGCCAGAAAUAGAUGGAAGUUGCAAUUCUUAAUGCACAUUAAAAGAAAACUAAGGUCAUGUACAUUUUUUUGUUCCACUGUCUCAAUCAUUUGUGUUUUCAAAGCGCAGAUGGGCAAGAAUAUUCGAGAUGCACAUCGGUUUGCAUUGGGGGAACGCUCCCCGUUAAAGGACGUAACAAACUCACCUCUAAAUGGAAAUGCAGAGAGUAGUUCUGCUGCUCAAUUCCAAAAGAUAUUCCAAAUUUGAAAAAUGUUCAUGGAUUUUAAAAUUUCAUGAAUUAGAAUACAUUUUUACAAAUUUUAGAAUUUUUUCAUGAAUUUAACAAGAUCAAGAAUUUGAAAAUGGUUCCCGAAAUUUAAGAAGUGUUCCUGAACUUUCUGCCAAAUGUUUGCGAGGUUUUUUACGGUACCCUGGUACUCCUUAUGUAGGGGUGGGAGUACGGGUUAAAUCCAACCCUUGGUUUAAAAGGGUAGUUUGGGUAAUGUUUAUUUAAUUUAUGAUCUACUCCCUCCGUUCCUAAAUAUUUGUCUUUCUAGCCA